rnacentral:misc_RNA from 1 species
GAUGAAGAACGUAGCGAAAUGCGAUAAGUAAUGUGAAUUGCAGAAUUCAGUGAAUCAUCGAAUCUUUGAACGCACAUUGCGCCCGCUAGUAUUCUGGCGGGCAUGCCUGUCCGAGCGUCAUUUCAACCCUCAAGCCCCCGGGCUUGGUGUUGGGGAUCGGCGAGCAUCCGCGCCCGCCGUCCCCUAAAUCUAGUGGCGGUCUCGCUGUAGCUUCCUCUGCGUAGUAGCACACCUCGCACUGGGAAACAGCGCGGCCACGCCGUUAAACCCCCAACUUCUGAACGUUUGACCUCGGAUCAGGUAGGAAUACCCGCUGAACUUAAGCAUAUCAAUAAGCGGAGGA